rnacentral:rRNA from 1 species
GGGGAAUCUUGCGCAAUGGGCGAAAGCCUGACGCAGCGACGCCGCGUGGGGGAGGAAGCUCUUCGGAGUGUAAACCCCUGUCAGGAGGGAAGAACGGGCGUUCCAGGAAAUGGGAGCGUUUUGACGGUACCUCCAAAGGAAGCACCGGCUAACUCUGUGCCAGCAGCCGCGGUAAUACAGAGGGUGCGAGCGUUGUUCGGAAUUACUGGGCGUAAAGCGCGCGCAGGCGGUCCUUUAAGUCUACCCGUGAAAUGCCGGAGCUCAACUCCGUGCACGCCGGGGGAUACUGGAGGACUGGAGACGAGUAGAGGCAAGCGGAAUUCCGGGUGUAGCGGUGGAAUGCGUAGAGAUCCGGAAGAACACCGGAGGCGAAGGCGGCUUGCUGGGCUUGGUCUGACGCUGAGGCGCGAAAGCGUGGGGAGCGAA